UACGCCCUGCUUGGUACGUGAUGUGUUCUUUUAAACCCACAUCUUUUUUUCGGGACGCUGUACUUCCCACGUGGAUUGCAGGCCUCCCGCCCCGGCUUCGCGCCUGGGUGGAAGUUGGAAGCAGAGAAACGUGCGGAGAGGCGACCCACCUGCCCAGAACGUGCAGGUUAUAACUGAACACACACGGCCAAAGUGGGGCUAUU
rnacentral:other from 1 species